GUAUCAUGGCUCAGGAUGAACGCUAGCCACAGGCUUAACACAUGCAAGUCGAGGGGCAGCAUGGUCUUAGCUUGCUAAGGCCGAUGGCGACCGGCGCACGGGUGAGUAACACGUAUCCAACCUGCCGUCUACUCUUGGACAGCCUUCUGAAAGGAAGAUUAAUACAAGAUGGCAUCAUGAGUCCACAUGUUCACAUGAUUAAAGGUAUUCCGGUAGACGAUGGGGA
rnacentral:rRNA from 1 species